rfam:Equus caballus chromosome 6, whole genome shotgun sequence.
UUAUAAGGAAGACGUCGGGUCCUCCAUUUCAGCCUUUCUUUCUGCCAGGACGCGGCCGUGGCAUUUCUGGUCUUGUAAACACUGGACUCUUCGGGGCCU